UACGGGGGGGGCAAGCGUUGUUCGGAAUUACUGGGCGUAAAGGGCGCGUAGGCGGCCUACUAAGUCGGACGUGAAAUCCCUCGGCUUAACCGGGGAACUGCCUUCCAAACUGUUUUGCUUGAGUCCGGGAGAGGUCAGUGGAAUUCCCAGUGUAGCGGUGAAAUGCGUAGAUAGUUGGGAGGAACACCAGUGGCGAAGGCGACUGACUGGACCGGUACUGACGCUGAGGCGCGAAAGCGUGGGGAGCAAACGGG
rnacentral:rRNA from 1 species